GGAAGGGUUGUAUUUAUUAGAUAAAGAACCAAUAUAAUUGGUGACUCAUAAUAACUUUACGGAUCACAAUUAAUGUGACAUAUCAUUCAAGUUUCUGACCUAUCAGCUUUAGACGGUAGGGUAUUGGCCUACCGUGGCAAUGACGGGUAACGGGGAAUUAGGGUUCGAUUCCGGAGAGGGAGCCUGAGAAACGGCUACCACAUCUAAGGAAGGCAGCAGGCGGGCAAAUUACCCAAUCCUAAUACAGGGAGGUAGUGACAAGAAAUAACAAUACAGGACUUUUUGGUUUUGUAAUUGGAAUGAGUUAAGUAUAAACCCCUUUACAAGUAUCAAUUGGAGGGCAAGUCUGGUGCCAGCAGCCGCGGUAAUUCCAGCUCCAAUAGCGUAUAUUAAAGUUGUUGCAGUUAAAAAGCUCGUAGUUGGAUUUCUGUUAAUAAUUUAUAUAAAAUAUUUUGAUGAAUAUUUAUAUAAUAUUAACAUAAUUCAUAUUACUAUUUUUUUUUUUAGUAUAUGAAAUUUUACUUUGAGAAAAUUAGAGUGCUUAAAGCAGGCAUAUGCCUUGAAUACUCCAGCAUGGAAUAAUAUUAAAGAUUUUUAUCUUUUUUAUUGGUUCUAAGAUAAGAAUAAUGAUUAAUAGGGACAGUUGGGGGCAUUUGUAUUUAACAGUCAGAGGUGAAAUUCUUAGAUUUGUUAAAGACAAACUAAUGCGAAAGCAUUUGCCAAGGAUGUUUUCAUUAAUCAAGAACGAAAGUUAGGGGAUCGAAGACGAUCAGAUACCGUCGUAGUCUUAACCAUAAACUAUGCCAACUAGAGAUUGGAGGUUGUUCCUUACUCCUU
rnacentral:rRNA from 1 species